rnacentral:rRNA from 1 species
UGCCAAUCAAUUUAACUUGGGAGUCAGAACAUGGGUGAUAAGGUCCGUGUUCGAAAGGGAAACAGCCCAGACCACCAGCUAAGGUCCCAAAAUAUAUGUUAAGUGGAAAAGGAUGUGGCGUUGCCCAGACAACUAGGAUGUUGGCUUAGAAGCAGCCAUCAUUUAAAGAGUGCGUAAUAGCUCACUAGUCGAGUGACACUGCGCCGAAAAUGUACCGGGGCUAAACAUAUUACCGAAGCUGUGGAUUGUCCUUCGGACAAUGGUAGGAGAGCGUUCUAAGGGCGUUGAAGCAUGAUCGCAAGGACAUGUGGAGCGCUUAGAAGUGAGAAUGCCGGUGUGAGUAGCGAAAGACGGGUGAGAAUCCCGUCCACCGAUUGACUAAGGUUUCCAGAGGAAGGCUCGUCCGCUCUGGGUUAGUCGGGUCCUAAGCUGAGGCCGACAGGCGUAGGCGAUGGAUAACAGGUUGAUAUUCCUGUACCAC